AACGAACGCUGGCGGCGUGCCUAACACAUGCAAGUCGUGCGAGAAAGUUCCUUCGGGAGCGAGUAAAGCGGCGCACGGGUGAGUAACACGUAGGUAACCUGCCCCCCAGUCUGGAACAACUAGAGGAAACUCUAGCUAAUGCCGGAUGAGACCACGAUCCCUUCGGGGGUUGCGGCCAAAGAUGGCCUCUACUUGUAAGCUAUCGCUGAGGGAUGGGCCUGCGGGCCAUUAGCUUGUUGGUGAGGUAACGGCUCACCAAGGCUGUGAUGGCUAGCUGGUCUGAGAGGAUGACCAGCCACACUGGGACUGAGACACGGCCCAGACUCCUACGGGAGACAGCAGUGGGGAAUAUUGCGCAAUGGGCGAAAGCCUGACGCAGCGACGCCGCGUGGGUGAUGAAGGCC
rnacentral:rRNA from 1 species